ensembl:lncRNA
GUUAAAUUUCUCAUAUAUUGGCACUAAUUCCCCAUCUCUCAUCUGGGUCACAAAUACUUUGAUGAGCAGCAAUCUAGCUGUCAGCUUAGGAGGCAUUCUCAGAGCUCUAGAGAGCGAUGAGUUUGUUUUGACUGGAAACCUCUUGUAAAAGAAUCCAGUUGCCUUUGGGAUUGAUUUCUAGAAUAUUUACAAAGAAAUGAACACCAUCUUGUCCCCAGUGAUAGCAUUUUAAAGAUAAAAAGAGUUUCCCGGAGUUGCCAUUGUGGCCAUGGGGUAAGGACCUGACAUAGUGUCUGUGAGGAUACAAGUUCAUUCCCUGGCCUUGGUCAGUGAGCUAAAGAUCUGGAGGUGCCACAAGCUGUGGUGUAGGUCACAGAUGCAGCUUGGAUCUGCUGAUGCCCUGGCUAUGGCAUAGGCCUGCUGCUGUGGCUGAUUUGACCCAUAGCCCAGGAAUUUCCAUAUGCCACAGGUGUGGCCCUAAAAAAGAGUGAGUUUCCCUCACUUCUCCCCUCAACAGAGUGAUCCAUUUCUAAAAUGUAUCAUUUUGUGUAUUUUUAGGGGCGCAUCAGACUCUUUUGGUUUGAACAUUACCUAAAGACUAUGCUCCAGCCAGCGUCUUCCAGUUGUACGCAAUAAAAACUGAUUUGGGUUAACAAGCAGAAAAGGAGUUCACUGAAAAAGUAUUGAGGAGCUCAGAGAAUCAACGGAAAGGCUAGAAAACCAGGCUAAGAGCAUACAGGCAAGCACCAGUGGAAGCUGGGGGGCCCACAGAGGAAAUCACAGCACAAGGAUGCUGCUACAGGACACUGGCAAAGUCCUGGCGACUGGAUGCCAUAGCUGACCUGGCUGCCAUCACCACCAUAAUAAAUUCUACACACUGCCUGCUUCCCUGCACCCUUGUCUCCAGAGUCACAAUCCUGGAGGGAUGGGCUAAUCAGGCAACAAUCAGGAGCAACUGAUUCCAAGGUCUUCUGGCUUCCACGAGUGAGAUGUAUGGCCCUGCCUCACACAGUGACUUGUUCCCCAAACAUAGAGACAAUUCGGAGGCUGAGGAGCCAGGAGUAUGACAAAUGUCCACUAGACAGUCAUCUUCUAACACUUUCUAAGCCAAAAAAUGAAAGAAUCAAAGAGUCUAAUCUGUAUAAAAGGCUUAACAUAGCACCUGAGCUGAACUCUCAAAACUGGAAGAGGUGGCUAUCGUACUUACUACUCAACGUUUUAAAACUUUAGCGGAUCCGAGUACUGCAUUAUAGUGCCAGCAUUUUCCCUCCAAGCCUUUUACUCCUUAUGGGAAUCACAGUUGCAGAGCUGAGCAAAGAAAGUUGAGAAGAGGUACACGACGCAAAAGUGUACUUAGGGACAGUGCCACGAGCAUAAUAAAUCCAGUUUAGUUUUCUAAUAAAUUUUUUAAAAGACUGCCUCUUUUCAAGUCUCAGUCUUAGAGCCUCCUUGCCUGCCUGCCUUUAUUCCUCCCAAGUGCUUUAUCUUAAUAGCACUUCCAUUCCUUGCCUAAAAAAAAAGGUCUCAGUCUUGGGAUCGUAUCUAUUUUUUCAUUUAAUUCUGUGAAAUUACUAAUUUCUACAAUAAUAAUAAAAAUAGGUGCUACUCACUAAGUGCCUAAUACAUGCCAGAAAUUUUCCAUGGAUUACUUUUAAUCCUGACAAUCAUCCUAUGUGAUAGAUAUUAUUUGCAUUUUGCAGGUGAGGAAACUGAAGCCGAGAGAUUAAGUAACCUGUCGAAGAGCACACAGCAUGGGUGGCAAGUGCGCAGCCAAGUCUACUGCGACCCCACACUGUCUCUCACGUGGGUGCUUUCUCCAAAGAUUCCCACCAACAUCUUUUAAAAAUUCCACUAAAUCCAAGUGUAUGUUUCUCAAAUCAUUUUUUCUAUCUUGAGAUAUUAUUAAAUUUUCAAAAAGACAGGUCAAGAAAUUAUUUGUUGCCAGGUCUUUGGCACAAUUAAACUUUUAUCAGAUAACAUGGUCGUGUGCUAACCUCAUUACUAACACACAAAUGUUCUUAUAAACAAGAGCAACUGCUUUAUUAAGUCCAAAUUAUAAAGCAGCUACUCUGCUAGCCAGCCCUAAAAGACAGGUACUACCAUCUUCUUUUUACAAAAGAGAAAUCAGAGAUCUAGAGAGACUGAGAAACUUGCCAGGGGCCUCACUGCUAGAAGUGGCGGAACUAGGACUGCAGCGUCAGCAGUCUGACUCCAAAGCCUGCAUUUCCUCCGGUGUAUCAUCCGCUCUGGGCCAGGCUGAUCAUUUGCACUGAGAACCACCACUCCUUCCCCUUUCUGGCUUCCAGUGGCUUCCCUGUGGGCACCUGGCCCUUGGUAGGAAUAAUAUCCCUUCAAAGGACAGCGCUGUUUUCUCUUCCCUUGCAGGUUUUCCGGCUCCCUCUUCCUACAGGCAAGAACACAACCUCCCUACACAGACUCAGCCCCGAGUUCCAGAACAUUCUCUUCUUUUUUGGCCCUGCGGCAAAGGGAAGUGCCCAGAGCAGGAAUCAGACCUGAGCCACAGAUGUGACCUACACCACAGCUGCAGCAGCGCCAGGUUCUUAUCCCCCUGAGCCAGGCCAGGGGCCCGACCCCUGGACCAUCCUGUUCUUAAUUUGCACAAACAUGUGGAGCCUUGGCUUUGAGGCUUAGGUGAGUCCCCCUAAGUCUCCUUGGCUGGAACGCCAUCACUGAUUGUGUGCCUUAGUUCCAGCCACUGGGUUUAACCCAUUACCAUCGUGGUUUGUUAGCCCCGCUUGGAGGGACUUGCUCUGCUCCUACCACACUCGUAUUCGUCAGUACACCUUUGGGUCUAGAAUCUAACUCGUCCAGAAGCUACAACGUCUAUUGGAAGAAAAGACCAAGAGAACAAACCCUUCAAAAAGCUCUCCAGCAAGCAAACUUCUCCCUCAUUGCCUAGAACAGUGUGUCCACACUAACCAUACCUAAUCUGAAAUUGUUGGCGUAGACGGAUGAAGACUCAACUCUGGGCCAUUCCCUUUCUGAAGCAUGUAGCCGUGUAGCCUUGACAAAGCUGGAGUCUUACUGGGAAAGAGGAAACAUGAGGGCGAAUACCUUGGGUAGGCAGCCAACAAAAUCUGCUGCCGGAGAGAGAAAGCAAUUCUACCGGGAGGUUGGAGGGCCAAAAACAAGGUGAUCCUUGCUGCUGAGUCUUUAAAGAGAUUUCUCUCUCUCUCUCUCUCUUUUUUUUUUUUUUUGGCUGUGCUCAGGGCACGUGGAAGUUCCUGGACCAGGGACUGAACCCACGCCACAGCAGCCGCCUGAGCUACAAUGACAACACCAGAACUUUAUUCUGCUGGGCCACAAGAAAGGUCCUAAAAAGGGAAUUCUUACCAAGCGGAUGACAUGCACAGGCAUAACUGCAAAAGCAUGAUAACCUGCAACUACCUUCUGUUCUUCAGAAAUUACAAUCGCUUCACUGUAACUGGGGUGUGCAGUGGCAGACAGGGCUGGAAAGCGAGGCAGGCAUGUAUGCCAUGCUAAGGAGGCAAUGAGGGAGUCACUGAGGUGUGGGGACAGCAUGAUAUUAUUAGAAUUUUCCAAAGAUAAUCUGCUCACAGAAUGGAAAAUGGAUCCCAGAAGGAUAUGAGGCUGAAGGGUGGGAGACCAGGUGGAAAGCUGUUAGUUUUCACACAGGGGAGAGAUGAUAGGCUCUACGCUUGGCUGCAGUAAUAGUGAAGCAGAGGAGGAGGGACGAGAAAAACGCUGGAGAGCUUUCUGCAGAAUCUGCUGAUCUACGGGAUAGGAGCCUGGAAGGCCUAUGCUGACUCUGAGACGCGUGCCAGCAGUCUUCAUUAAAGAACAAGUAUCCCAGAGAAGGAUCAGGUUUGGAGCAGCGGUUUGGGGGAAAGCAAUACAGCCAGUUAGGGACCAGCUG